rnacentral:rRNA from 1 species
UGAUUUGAGAUGGCCUCUCGCCCUAUUCAGUGUAACAGCUGUGGUAGUGGGUUUGGUCGCUCGCAUUUAAAUUGGAAGGGUAAUGGUGGACCGCACUUCUCCCUUAGUAGGACGUUGCGACCUGUCAAAUAAUAUCCUAAGUAUUUGGCUAAUUUGUCUGUUUUUAGGCAGUACUGAAAGGUAUUUCCUUUAACAGUUUUAGCCGUUUACAUACUGGAUAUAAUUGACAGUAACGAAUCAUGGUGUUGAGCCACUUA